UAUUGCACUCCCCCCGGCCUUU
rnacentral:miRNA from 2 species